ACAUAGCUAUUACCCAUACAUUGGAAGGCAGAGAGGUUUUCGAAUUUUUAUAGACCUUCAUCGCAAAGAAAAACAAUUCAAAGCAGUUCAAAAAAGAAAUGCUAGAAGUAGAGAAGCCAUGACAAAAUACUUUUCCACUUAAGUAUAUUGAUUUUGUCUGUUGCAAGGUUCGAACAUGUCACAUGCGCCUAAUGACCUGAAGGGUCAUUACAACAUGUUGGCUCUACCUCCAGACUUUUCCGCUGUCCAUCCGGUUUUUCAUGUCUCUAUGUUGCGGAAGUAUAUUUCGGAUCCUUCUCAUGUGCUUAGAUGGGACUUGGUCCAGUUGGACGAUCAGUUGACGUUUGUGGAGGAGCCCGUGCUUGUAUUGGCUAGUGAUGUGAGGCGACUGCGUACUAGAGAGAUUUCUGUCGUUAAGGUUCAGUGGAGGCACCGCCCAGUGGAGGAGGCCACUUGGAAGUUAGAGAGAGAGAUGCGAGCCCAGUACCCUCACCUAUUUGAGACUUCAGGUACUUGCUUAUCUUUAACUUUCGGGGAUGCAAGUUCCUUAGUAGGGGAUGUUGUAAUGACCCUUCAGGUCAUUUGCCGUGUUCUUUCUUAUUUUCACUGAUAGAGCUCCUCCAUAGCCGUCCCAAGUCAUUAAUGACUUGCUAGAACCGAUAGUGCGAUUACCUGGCGGUUCGUUUGGUUUUUAGAACCACUUUUCCAAUUUGAGUCUUCGUCGAUUCUGAAUGGUCGUCCAGCGAAAAAUUCAGUAAAAUAAUUUUGGAUGCAAAUUUCGACUAUGCCAGCAGAUAUGUAAUAUCGAUUCUAGGAUGGAUAGACCCUUGGUUUAGAUCCCACAGCACCCAAGCUCAUUUCGACCCAUUAGUCUAAAAAGUCAAAAUUAAAAUAUGAGUGUGGGACCCACAAGUGGUUUAAAUGACCUCGUAUGGAAAAUCUGAGAUCACCAAUACGUCCGGAAUGUCAAAAUUAGUGGGGUUACAUAGUUCGUUUGCGAAAAAUUGAGUCCAAAUGAGUCCGGAAGGUCAAAAACAAAUUUUGACCUUGCGGGCCCAUUUAAAACCGUAUAAAAGGGAGUUUUGGCAGAUUUUGAGCAUUCUUCACCCCUAUUAAAACCCUAGCAUCCCUAGGAGAGUGGAGACUCAAAAAAAUUGGUCUUGUGGGUUGAUUGAAAGCUUAACAACUUGUGUAAUUCACCUUUCUACUAUAAAUCCAAUGUAUGAAUUUCUCUAAUUUGAUAUUAAUUUCAUGAUUUCUUGACUCAAAACCCUAAAUCAUUGUGGGUCAAUUGUAUCCCCAAAAUUGUGUGCUUGACUCAAAUUUCUUGAGGGUUUUAACUCCCUAAAGAUAAUUAGGCUAUGAGCUUGGAAACUCCUUUCCAAGGGUGAAACCCAAUUGGGGUUUUGGUGUCCAUUUGAAACCCAUGGCACAAUGAUGCCAUAAAGGGUAUUUUCAUUCUUAUUGUAAUGUUUGGAGUGUAUUGUUGAUAGCAUUGAUCGUGGAUGGAAAAGCUUCUCGGAAAGGAAGGAAAAAGUUCGUUGAUUCGUGAGUUGCUUGGAUUCAAGAUCCAGGUCCUAGUUGCCGCUGUUGAGCUAGUUCGUGCGAGUUGACUAUUCAGAGACAGGGUGAGUUCUUGGAGAUCGAGUUGCCCUUUUUCUCCUCUAUCCUUAUUUGUCUUUUACUUUUGAGACAAAUGUACGAGCUUAUUUAAGACAUUUUAGAUUCUGAGAUUGUAAAUUCCUCUCGUCAAAUUUAGAAGCUCUUGUAUUAAUACUAUUAGGUCGUGGGAUUUGUAUUUGAAUAUCGGUUGUCCUUAGUUGUAUAAAUAUUGUUAUAUAUUGUGUUUAUGCGUAGAGUCCAUGUUGGACGUUCUUACCAAGGUAACCCAUUUCCAUAGCUCCGGGUUACGGUAACGGCUUACCUACUGGAGGAAUGUGGUAAGUGCCACAUUACUCCAAACAGGGUCGUGACCACUGGAUGUGUAGACACUGUCAGACUCUUGGUGGAACAAGAUCCUGAUUUCGAGUUUCCAGCAAACAACGCCGGGGAGACACCACUCUAUCUGGCCACGGAGUCUGGUCUUGCAACUGUUUGUCAGAAAUCUUAGAACACUGCAACAGACCAACAUACAGCGGUCCAUGUGGCCGAACGGCUUUGCAUGCGGCAAUAAUUCAGAAACAAUUGGAUUGUGCGGCAUCACUGUGGGAAUGGAACAAAUCAUUAUGCGAGGAAACUGACAAAAUGGGAUUGGAAUCCACUGCAUUAUGCUGUUAAACAAGGAUUGAGAGUAGUAGUUCGUAAAAUGCUGGGGUGGAAGACAUCGUUACCCCACACUCACACAGGCAAUGGAAAUGACUGGGCAACAUCAAUCCAGAUAGCUUGGAAAUGCUUGACAGCAAUGGCCAAAAUGCUCUUCAUGUUGCCAUAUCGAAUUAUAAAACAGGAGUAGUCACAUUCUUAUUGUUGAAUGCGUAGGAAUCUCAUAACCUUAUCGACAAGCCAGAUAAUGAUGGCAACACUCCUCUCCAUUUGCUUGCUGCCUCCGACUGGAUAAGUGUGCCUGAUAAAUUAAGAAGACAUGCGAGUACAAAGAUGUCAUUUAACAAAGAAAACCAGACUCCGGUUGACAUAUUGUCUAGCACAGAGAAAACACUGCGUGUACGUACAUACAUGUUACUUUGCUAGCGUUUGGCCGUAGAUUUUUAAGAUGUAUCUUCAAAUAUAUUUGUUUGUGACAUGAAAUUUGGCAUGUUCAAAGAUCACAACAUCAAAAACUCGAAUUUUCAAGUUUCAACUUCAAAAUCUAUGGUCAAUUUAGCUACAAUCUAUUGGUAAUUUCGCGACUACAUGUAAUUAUUCUCACUCAUAUGCAACUAAAUACAUAAAGAUUGGUAUAUAUAGUAUGUUGGUUAU